AACGAACGCUGGCGGCAUGCCUAACACAUGCAAGUCGAACGAGACCUUCGGGUCUAGUGGCGCACGGGUGCGUAACGCGUGGGAAUCUGCCCUCUGGUACGGAAUAACUCAGGGAAACUUGAGCUAAUACCGUAUAAUGACUUCGGUCCAAAGAUUUAUCGCCUGAGGAUGAGCCCGCGUAGGAUUAGCUUGUUGGUGAGGUAAAAGCUCACCAAGGCGACGAUCCUUAGCUGGUCUGAGAGGAUGAUCAGCCACACUGGGACUGAGACACGGCCCAGACUCCUACGGGAGGCAGCAGUGGGGAAUAUUGCGCAAUGGGCGAAAGCCUGACGCAGCCAUGCCGCGUGGAUGAUGAAGGUCUUAGGAGUGUAAAAUCCUUUCACCGGUGAAGAUAAUGACUGUAGCCGGAGAAGAAGCCCCGGCUAACUUCGUGCCAGCCGCCGCUGUAAUAC
rnacentral:rRNA from 1 species